GACGAACGCUGGCGGCGUGCUUAACACAUGCAAGUCGAACGGAAAGGCCCUGCUUUUGUGGGGUGCUCGAGUGGCGAACGGGUGAGUAACACGUGAGUAACCUGCCCUUGACUUUGGGAUAACUUCAGGAAACUGGGGCUAAUACCGGAUAGGAGCUCCUGCUGCAUGGUGGGGGUUGGAAAGUUUCGGCGGUUGGGGAUGGACUCGCGGCUUAUCAGCUUGUUGGUGGGGUAGUGGCUUACCAAGGCUUUGACGGGUAGCCGGCCUGAGAGGGUGACCGGCCACAUUGGGACUGAGAUACGGACCAGACUCCUACGGGAGGCAGCAGUGGGGAAUAUUGCACAAUGGGCGGAAGCCUGAUGCAGCAACGCCGCGUGCGGGAUGACGGCCUUCGGGUUGUAAACCGCUUUCGCCUGUGACGAAGCGUGCGUGACGGUAAUGGGUAAAGAAGCACCGGCUAACUACGUG
rnacentral:rRNA from 1 species